rnacentral:piRNA from 1 species
UUGUUCCUUUUUGAAUUGUUGAUA